GACGAACGCUGGCGGCGUGCUUAACACAUGCAAGUCGAACGGAAAGGCCCUGCUUUUGUGGGGUGCUCGAGUGGCGAACGGGUGAGUAACACGUGAGUAACCUGCCCUUGACUUUGGGAUAACUUCAGGAAACUGGGGCUAAUACCGGAUAGGAGCUCCUGCUGCAUGGUGGGGGUUGGAAAGUUUCGGCGGUUGGGGAUGGACUCGCGGCUUAUCAGCUUGUUGGUGGGGUAGUGGCUUACCAAGGCUUUGACGGGUAGCCGGCCUGAGAGGGUGACCGGCCACAAUAGGACUAAGGUACGGCCCAGACUCCUACGGGAGGCAGCAGUGGGGAAUAUUACACAAUGAGCGGAAGCCUGAUGCAGCAACGCCGCGUGCGGGAUGACGGCCUUCGGGUUGUAAACCGCUUUCGCCUGUGACGAAGCGUGAGUGACGGUAAUGGAUAAAGAAGCACCGGCUAACUACGUG
rnacentral:rRNA from 1 species